AGGGAUGCUGAUGAACUCCAGAGUUUUAUCAGUCAGAAGAAACGCACUGUUAAUGCGGUUUCUGGAUUUUCUUUUGGAAAAAAGAAAAAAGAACUCCCAAGAGAUGCAACGACUCCACAAUGUCCUCUCCAGCCCAAAUGCCAGAAGAAAAUGUUGGCAUUUAACAUUUCUACAAACCACAGGAACAAACAAUGCCGACAUUUACUCUGAUGAUUUGGUUACCCGAAAACAAUUGAACCUGGAAAACGUCCAAAGGAAUAAGGCUCGUGGGGUCCUGCAGUGACGUCACCACGAACCAAAAGGACACCCUGACGGUCUCAUUGCAUACAAGGAUGUUCGACACCCUGGUGCAAGUUUCACAAGACAAUAAAGACAACUGGUUUACAUCACCGGGUCUAUUGUUUUGGAGUCAAAGAGUCCUCUGCAGAUAUUUCAGCUCAUGGUAUAACCCCCCUGAACACCUGGAUAUUAAAUUAUCACAGAGAAAAGGUAAGCACUCAUUAGCAGGUGCUGUAUCCGA